UCCGUAGGUGAACCUGCGGAGGGAUCAUUACCGAGUUUACAACUCCCAAGCCCCUGUGAACAUACCUAUACGUUGCCUCGGCGGAUCAGCCCGCGCCCUGUAAAAAGGGACGGCCCGCCCGAGGACCCUAAACUCUGUUUUUAGUGGAACUUCUGAGUAAAACAAACAAAUAAAUCAAAACUUUCAACAACGGAUCUCUUGGUUCUGGCAUCGAUGAAGAACGCAGCAAAAUGCGAUAAGUAAUGUGAAUUGCAGAAUUCAGUGAAUCAUCGAAUCUUUGAACGCACAUUGCGCCCGCCAGUAUUCUGGCGGGCAUGCCUGUUCGAGCGUCAUUUCAACCCUCAAGCUCAGCUUGGUGUUGGGACUCGCGGUAACCCGCGUUUCCCAAAUCGAUUGGCGGUCACGUCGAGCUUCCAUAGCGUAGUAAUCAUACACCUCGUUACUGGUAAUCGUCGCGGCCACGCCGUAAAACCCCAACCUCUGAAUGUUGACCUCGGAUCAGGUAGGAAUACCCGCUGAACUUAAGCAUAUCAAUAAGCGGAGGA
rnacentral:rRNA from 1 species